GGCUCUGCCUCUCCCUCAAACCUUGUCUCCUGUGUGUUUGGCUUUUGAAAAACAAACCCUGGACUUUGUGUUUCCCAUCUCGCCCAGUGUCAGAGAAACGUGGGCAGAAGGAGAGAACGGAGAAUGUUAGUGAAGAAAAAAAAAAAACAAAAACCUGAGUGAACAGCACAGACUGUCACCCACCACAGUGGCUUGAGAAUCAUGCAUGGAGUGUCUUCUGGACCCUGAGGUGGCACACGUGGCUUCUCCUUUCUCACUGCCCUGGCUUAGGACUGCGGUCAGAUGCCCAGGUUCCAGCUGCCCUGUCUCACAUCAGAAAGCAUUGACAAUAACUUCACUCAUCUCUGCUGCUGCUGCUGCUAAGUCGCUUCAGUCGUGUCCGACUCUGUGCGACCCCAGAGACGGCAGCCCACCAGGCUCCCCCGUCCCUGGGAUUCUCCAGGCAAGAACACUGGAGUGGGUUGCCAUUUCCUUCUCCACUCAUCUCUAUCAACAUAAUUGAGAACUACCUGGUUUAGGGUCCUCUGCUGAUUACGCUUGAUGAGCUCCUGAUGGCUCCGUGCCUGCUGUUGCUAAUGCCUCGUCUACAGCGCUGCCACUGUCUUGACCUUGCCCAUGGAAAGCAGCAACUCCAGCAUUGCCCCCAUCAUGUCUAUUGCUGUGGGAACCUCCGUGGAUCUGGAACCCAGGCUGUAUGGUCAGGUCAGUCAAGAUGGCUGUUCUCUUGUUCUCUGUACAUCCCCUGAUGGACUGGUCCUUGCUCCACCUAUAUCCUACUCGCAUGACCGACCUUCCCUCUUAGUACGUACUUGCCC
rnacentral:lncRNA from 1 species